rnacentral:misc_RNA from 1 species
GCCUGGCCUACCCAAGACAAUCUCAGCAAAAGGGGCAUUCAGACCGUGAACAGAUGUUUUAUGUUGUGCAAUAGCUUGGAAACCAACAACCACCUUUGUUAUAUUGUAAAGUUGCAACUGAUUUGUGGAGUCUGUUUCUCUCUAUUUUUGGUCUCUGUUGGGUCAUGCCGCAAAACUUUAAAGAAGCUUAUGAAUGUUGGAGCUGCUGGGAAUUGGUAAGCCAUCAGAAGCACAUGGAGGAUGAUUCCAGAUAUUGUUGGUGCUCUUGGUUAGA